rnacentral:rRNA from 1 species
CUCAAAGAUUAAGCCAUGCAUGCGUGUUCAACGUAAGUAAAACUGCGAACGGCUCAUUAGAGCAGAUAUAUUUUAUUCCGGUUAUCAUUUUGGAUAACCUGCGGAAAUACUGGAGCUAAUACAUGCAAUAAAACCUCGACUUCGGAAGGGGUGCAAUUAUUAGUACAAACCAAUCGCUUCUGGCGUAGUUUGUUGACUCUGAGUAAUUCUGUGGAUCGUCGGUCAAUCCGACGAUGUCCGGAAAAAGUGUCUGCCCUAUCAACUUGAUGGUAGUGUAUUGGACUACCAUGGUUAUAACGGGUAACGGAGAAUCAGGGUUCGACUCCGGAGAGGGAGCCUUAGAAACGGCUACCACAUCCAAGGAAGGCAGCAGGCGCGUAACUUAUCCAUUAUAAAUUAUGAGAUAGUGACUAAACAUAAAAAGACCGUUCCUCACGGAAUGGUUAUUUCAAUGAUACGAGUGUAAAUAUCUCGUAAAGGAACUAGUGGAGGGCAAGUCUGGUGCCAGCAGCCGCGGUAAUUCCAGCUCCACUAGCUUAAAACGUCAUUGCUGAGGUUAAAAAGCUCGUAGUUGAAACUAAGGCUUGUGAUAUGGUUCGUCCUAGACGUUAACUAUGUCCUUGUCUGAUUUGUCGGUUUUCCACUUGUGACUUCGGUUCUUGUGGUGGCUGGCGAGUUUACUUUGAAUAAAUCAGAGUGCUCAACACAGGCGUUCGCCUGAAUGUUGCAUCAAGGGAUAAUAGAAGAGGACUUCGGUCCCUUUUAUUGGUUAUUGGACCGUAGUAAUGAUUAAUAGAGACGAUUCGGGGGCAUUCGUAUCACUACGCGACCGGUGAAAUGGGAUGACCGUAGUGAGACGUCCAAAAGCGAAAGCAAUUGCCAAGAACGUUCUCAUUAAUCAAGAACGAAAGUCAGAGGUUCGAAGGCGAUUAGAUACCGCCCUAGUUCUGACCGUAAACGAUGCCACCUAGCGAUCUGAUUGGGUAUUUUUGCCUGGUCAGGGAGCUUCCCGGAAACGAAAGUCUUUCGGUUCCUGGGGUAGUAUGGUUGCAAAGCUGAAACUUAAAGAAAUUGACGGAAGGGCACCACCAGGAGUGGAGCCUGCGGCUUAAUUUGACUCAACACGGGAAAACUCACCCGGCCCGGACACUGUUAGGAUUGACAGAUUGAAAGCUCUUUCUCGAUUCGGUGGUUGGUGGUGCAUGGCCGUUCUUAGUUGGUGGAGCGAUUUGUCUGGUUUAUUCCGAUAACGAGCGAGACUCUAGCCUGCUAAAUAGUGUGCAGAUACCAUAGGUCUGUACUUACUUCUUAGAGGGAUAAGCGGCGUUAUAGCCGCACGAGAUUGAGCGAUAACAGGUCUGUGAUGCCCUUAGAUGUCCGGGGCUGCACGCGCGCUACACUGGAAGGAUCAGCGGGCUCUUCCAUCCUCGAAAGGGGUUGGUAAACCGUUGAAACUCUUCCGUGACCGGGAUAGGGAAUUGUAAUUAUUUCCCUUGAACGAGGAAUUCCUAGUAAGUGUGAGUCAUCACCUCACGUUGAUUACGUCCCUGCCCUUUGUACACACCGCCCGUCGCUGUCCGGGACUGAGUUGUUUCGAGAAGAGUUGGGAACCUAUGAGCUGGGCUUUCGGGCUCGACUCGUUGGGUGAACUUCUUUAAUCGCAAUGACUUGAACCGGGC